UCUGCACAGGUUUUGAUAAAUCUCCCCAUAUGAGUAUGUUCUGGGGUGUGUAGACAUGUUCUCCUCUUGGGUGGAGGCGUGGCCUGUUGCUAAGGUGACAGCAAAGAAGCUGAUAUGUGAGAUUGUGUGUAGAUAUGGCCGACCUGAGACAGUAGAGUCCGACCGAGGGACUCACUUUACAGGACAAGUGUUUGCAGAUGAAUCUCCGUACUCCGUACCGUCCACAAUCAUCUGGCAAAGGAGAGAGAGCAAAUGGGGAUUUGAGAAAACAAAAUAGCUAAGAUCUGUGAGCAGACAAAUCUUACGUGGGUACAAGCCUCACCUUCAGCCCUCUUUGUAAUGAGACAUACCCCAAAGGGAAAACAUGGCCUUUCACCAUUUGAGAUUUUGUUUGGCAGACCCCCACUGACAGGUCUAUUCUUUCCACAAGAACUACAUGGACAGUCCCCGUCCUUACCUGACUAUGUCGUCCAGCUGCAUAUACAACUGACUAACUAGCAUGGAACAGUUUUCUCUUCCUUACCAGAUCCUGAAGAAGUAACCGGAACUCACCCCCUGCACCCUGGAGACUGGGUGGUGAUAAGAAGAUUUGUGAGGAGACAUCUGGAGCCCCGAUUUGACGGCCCAUACCAGGUGCUACUGACUACACCCACCUCAGUCAAGGGGGAAGGAAGGCCAAAAAAAGGACUAGCACCAAAAGGGUGAGGCCCCAGGGGACGAAGAGGAUUGACGGAAUCAAAAUGCAUGUACUGUCCUACGUGGUGUCCCGUCCUGAACAGACAGAUGAGGAUGAUGGGAUCUGUAACACUCAGUUGUACCGUAAUAUGGUACGGAUUCAUGUUGUUUUUCUGCUUACGUGUGUGUAAGAUACUCAUAUUAUCACGACCUACCAAGGAGCAUCUGGAGUCACGAUAAAGAAGAUGAAUGCGUAUAUACUUUCUUUGUCUCCGGAUUGGCUGAACUAUGGACAAAUGACAUUAUAAAGACAGUUCUCUUAUCUGAUCACAUAACAUAUACCCAGGAGAAAUCAUGUGACCUGCUGUGUGUUAAUGCGGGUUCCAUUGUAAUCCUGCCUAAUUAAUAAUAAUUUCUCUUUCAUUUGGUCCAACUGUUUCACGUUAUCUUUGCUUUAUCAAACCUUUUUCCUUCCAAUCCACGACAUAUAUGGGAAUUUACGAGCGUGUAACUGGGUCUUCAAUCCGUGUAAUAAUGGCGCAAAGUGUGAAGUAAAGAGAUCUUGUACCAGAUGUGAUCAGAUCUCUAGGGAUUUUAUACCCCGGGGAGGACAAAGAAAAGGAAAAGAAUUACACCGAUGUUUACUGAACCCGGGGGACGCUGACAUAUUGACGACUUCUCAUAUAGAAAAAUGGAUUUUAUGAUCUGAGACCGAAAAUAGACGUCAAGACGGGAAACGCUGGUCUAGGGUUUGUGAUAAAUAAAAGUAUCUGCAGCGUCUUAUGUUCAGAAGAGACGAUCUUC